CGAACUCUGGUAUUGAUUGGUGCUUGCAUCAUGAUUUACAUUUGAGUGAGUGGCGAACUGGUGAGUAACACGUGGGAAACCUGCCCAGAAGCGGGGGAUAACACCUGGAAACAGAUGCUAAUACCGCAUAACAACUUGGACCGCAUGGUCCGAGUUUGAAAGAUGGCUUCGGCUAUCACUUUUGGAUGGUCCCGCGGCGUAUUAGCUAGAUGGUGGGGUAACGGCUCACCAUGGCAAUGAUACGUAGCCGACCUGAGAGGGUAAUCGGCCACAUUGGGACUGAGACACGGCCCAAACUCCUACGGGAGGCAGCAGUAGGGAAUCUUCCACAAUGGACGAAAGUCUGAUGGAGCAACGCCGCGUGAGUGAAGAAGGGUUUCGGCUCGUAAAACUCUGUUGUUAAAGAAGAACAUAUCUGAGAGUAACUGUUCAGGUAUUGACGGUAUUUAACCAGAAAGCCACGGCUAACUACGUGCCAGCAGCCGCGGUAAUACGUAGGUGGCAAGCGUUGUCCGGAUUUAUUGGGCGUAAAGCGAGCGCAGGCGGUUUUUUAAGUCUGAUGUGAAAGCCUUCGGCUCAACCGAAGAAGUGCAUCGGAAACUGGGAAACUUGAGUGCAGAAGAGGACAGUGGAACUCCAUGUGUAGCGGUGAAAUGCGUAGAUAUAUGGAAGAACACCAGUGGCGAAGGCGGCUGUCUGGUCUGUAACUGACGCUGAGGCUCGAAAGUAUGGGUAGCAAACAGGAUUAGAUACCCUGGUAGUCCAUACCGUAAACGAUGAAUGCUAAGUGUUGGAGGGUUUCCGCCCUUCAGUGCUGCAGCUAACGCAUUAAGCAUUCCGCCUGGGGAGUACGGCCGCAAGGCUGAAACUCAAAGGAAUUGACGGGGGCCCGCACAAGCGGUGGAGCAUGUGGUUUAAUUCGAAGCUACGCGAAGAACCUUACCAGGUCUUGACAUACUAUGCAAAUCUAAGAGAUUAGACGUUCCCUUCGGGGACAUGGAUACAGGUGGUGCAUGGUUGUCGUCAGCUCGUGUCGUGAGAUGUUGGGUUAAGUCCCGCAACGAGCGCAACCCUUAUUAUCAGUUGCCAGCAUUAAGUUGGGCACUCUGGUGAGACUGCCGGUGACAAACCGGAGGAAGGUGGGGAUGACGUCAAAUCAU
rnacentral:rRNA from 1 species